rnacentral:rRNA from 1 species
UGGGGAAUAUUUGACAAUGGGCGAAAGCCUGAUCCAGCCAUGCCGCGUGUGUGAAGAAGGCCUUAUGGUUGUAAAGCACUUUAAGCGAGGAGGAGGGUACUGGUAUUAAUACUACCAGCUACUGGACGUUACUCGCAGAAUAAGCACCGGCUAACUCUGUGCCAGCAGCCGCGGUAAUACAGAGGGUGCGAGCGUUAAUCGGAUUUACUGGGCGUAAAGCGUGCGUAGGCGGCUAAUUGAGUCGGAUGUGAAAUCCCCGAGCUUAACUUGGGAAUUGCAUUCGAUACUGGUUAGCUAGAGUGUGGGAGAGGAUGGUAGAAUUCCAGGUGUAGCGGUGAAAUGCGUAGAGAUAUGGAGGAAUACCGAUGGCGAAGGCAGCCAUCUGGCCUAACACUGACGCUGAGGUACGAAAGCAUGGGGAGCAAACAGG